rnacentral:rRNA from 1 species
CCUACGGGGGACAGCAGUGAGGAAUAUUGGUCAAUGGGCGGAAGCCUGAACCAGCCAAGUAGCGUGCGGGAUGAAGGCCCUACGGGUCGUAAACCGCUUUUGCACGGGGAUAACACCCUCCACUUGUGGAGGUCUGCAGGUACCGUGCGAAUAAGGGCCGGCUAAUUCCGUGCCAGCAGCCGCGGUAAUACGGAAGGCCCGAGCGUUAUCCGGAUUCAUUGGGCUUAAAGGGAGCGUAGGCGGGCGUUCAAGUCAGCUGUAAAAUCGCGCGGCUCAACCGCGCCCCGCAGUUGAAACUGGACGCAUUGAGUUCACAACAGGCAGGCGGAAUUCGUGGUGUAGCGGUGAAAUGCAUAGAUAUCACGAGGAACCCCGAUUGCGAAGGCAGCCUGCCGGGGUGCGACUGACGCUGAGGCUCGAAGGUGCGGGUAUCAAACAGGAUUAGAUACCCCAGUAGUC